CGACGCUAGCUCGAAAACUCCGCCAGGGCCGGAAGGCAGCAACGGUAUCGUGCGAUGCGGGUGCCGGGGAACGUCGGCAGGG
rnacentral:SRP_RNA from 1 species